rnacentral:rRNA from 1 species
UACGGGGGGGGCAAGCGUUGUUCGGAAUUACUGGGCGUAAAGGGCUCGUAGGCGGCCAACUAAGUCAGACGUGAAAUCCCUCGGCUUAACCGGGGAACUGCGUCUGAUACUGGAUGGCUCGAGUUUGGGAGAGGGAUGCGGAAUUCCUGGUGUAGCGGUGAAAUGCGUAGAUAUCAGGAGGAACACCUGUGGUGAAGACGGGUUGCUGGGCCGACACUGACGCUGAAGCGCGAAAGCCAGGGGAGCAAACGGG